UACGUAAGGACCAAGCGUUGUUCGGAUUUACUGGGCGUAAAGGGCGCGUAGGCGGCAAUUCAAGUCAUCUGUGAAAUCUCCGGGCUUAACUCGGAACGGUCAGAUGAUACUGCUUUGCUAGAGUGCGGAAGGGGCAAUCGGAAUUCUCGGUGUAGCGGUGAAAUGCGUAGAGAUCGGAAAGAACACCAACGGCGAAAGCACUCUGCUGGGCCGACACUGACACUGAGAGACGAAAGCUAGGGGAGCGAAUGGG
rnacentral:rRNA from 1 species